GAAUACACAAACUCCCUGCAAAAAGCCCACAACCCACAUUAGGACCCAGCCAUAAUCUUAGUACUUUUUAAGUUCAUAUAAACAUCUUAAGAAGUUCUUUCAGAAGAACUGAUUCUAGCUUAGUAAUAUAAAAAAAAAAAAAAAGUUUAUUUUCAAAUCUUUUCCCUAUAUCUCAAGUAGCUUCGAUUUUAUAAAAUCUAUUCUGUCAGCGAGAGCUAUACAUAGAUUUUAAAUGAUCCACUUCUACUCCUGACAUCAUUUAACAGGAUGUCAGUAGCAGCAAAUGCCACUCUUAGUUUAUGGGCUUGUAUCUGGAGAUGAGCAUUGUGAGAACUACAUUUUCAGCAUUUUUUUAAAGUACCAGGUUAUAAUGAUGUAAAUAAUUGAGGCCUUUUUCCACCUUUAAUUUCACAAAUAUGCUGUUUAUUUCAACUAAAAAAUAAAUAUCUUUGAGGGAAAUAUAGAAAAAGGUCUGUAAUAACCUGGUAGCAUAAGUGUGCACACCUUGAAGCAAAAACUUUGAAAUCUGUCUGUUAAUUUUAUUCAGCAUUCAGUCUUUUUGGUUGAACUGCAAUCAAUUAUAGUGAAUCUGAUUAACCCGAAAUUCAACUCAGUUGUUCCUUAGUAUCUUCUCACAUUUCAUCUUAUUUGCAUCCUUUUCUGCUUAAACCUUAUUUCAUAGUUUGCGGAGAGGUUAAAGAGAAGGAGCUUAAUGAUCUCAAUGUACACAUGUACCAAUCAAAGAAAAUAGCAGAAACAAACUAUGGCGCAGUGAAAACAGUCUUCAGUAACUUAACUCUUUCAGGAGAUUCUACUAUUCUGUACAUUUGGGUUGUCCUUAUGUGCCCCAUUUAGUUUUCCUUUUAAACCAACAUUGUUCAACCAAAAUGUUACAAACGUCCAUGCAGAAACAGCAUCGCAAACAUUUCAAAUUCAUCUUUUAAGUAUUCUUUGUGUUGCACAUUACUGAAUGGACAUUAUGAGGAUAUUUUACUGAUUUCUUAAAAGAAAUUGUGCAGUUCAAACCUCAAAAAUGAAAUUGAUCAAAUUUAACCAAAAUAUUUUUAUUAUAUCUUUAUAUUUGGUCCAUUUCUAUGUUUAUGGUUAAAAUAAAAAAAUCUUUUUAAUGCUACAAGGCUUCAGUAAAUUGCUGCAAUAGAUGAGAAUGUUCACAUAAAAACUGCAACUGUUACAACUGUCUCCUAACUUUCAGUUUCCUCCUUCCCUCUGUUGGCGCUUUAGGUUUUUGUGUCAGAUUUUUUCACAGUGAUAUUGGGCACACUGAUGUACACCAAUACAAAAACCUCAGAACAAAAGUCUGAAUGUCACCCAUUAUAAUUUACAGAAAAACAUGUACAAUAUCACACAUAUAUGGUUGGAAUAUGAGGUAAGAACACAGUGUUACCAAAACAAAAGCCAUUUUAAUAAAUUGACUGAUAUUUACAAGUUAAACAAUCACAAGUUUUCAGUUCAUAGAGUACAGACAGUAUUUUGAAUUUUUUAUUUUAUCACAUGAUGGAGAAUUGACACAAAGUGGCAUUCACAGUCAUUAAAUGAGAAUAUCCAUCUCAUCAGAUUUCCCCUGUGUAAAAACUCUUUUAUGAAACUCUCCAGGUGUUAUGCUGUUUUUUUUAGGUGCCUCAGGUUUUUGUUCAAGGAGUGAGUGAAGAUGAAGCACUGUGAUGUUUAGACUACUGGGGGAAUGGAACAACUGUAACGGUUCUGCCAGAUACAAAUUCUCCCUCUGUUCCACCGACCCUUUUUGUCCUGAGUCCCCUGCAGACUCCUGGCUACCCCCUGAAGACAGCAGACGAAGUCGUUCCAAAGGUCUGUCUGGUCACAGAUUUCCAUUCGAAGGGGGAUGACGUGGUUCUGAAUCUGAGAGGAGGUCCGUUCAACGUGAGCACUGAUAAAGUUGUUCUGUCAAACAACAACACCUACUACUUUGCUGCAUUCAGCAAUGAAACCAUCUACUCAUGUAGCAUGAACAGGAUGAUUGGCAACAAUGAAGCAGAUGAUGCAUGUGGGAACAUUUAUCCAGAAAAAGCCAAGCUGAACUUCUACCUGCUGCUGAUGAACGAAGUCUGAGUGGUGUUCACCAAAGCUCUGGCCUUCAGCACCGUUAUCACCAUCAGAGGCCUGCUCUUCUAACACUGACCCUUCAAGGCCACCAUGCAGGCUGUCAGUAAAGCACACCAACUUACCUGUAGAGGAAAACUGUUCAUGCAAUUCAAAUUUAAAUCCAUGAUCUUUCAAAAGGCAAUACAAAAAACAUCACCACUGAGGUGACUAGGGUCACUUAUACAGUCUGAAACCUGCAUACAAAACACACAUAAAAGUCUUAUUAUUUUUUAAUUUAGCAGUUUGUGCCAAUGGUGAGAAAUAUGUCUUUAAAAUACCUUAUGAACAGAAAUGCAUUUAUUACAAAAAUAAAUAUUCUACAAUACUUGGCUUAAAAAACAUUUACAAAUUGAAUUAAAGAAUAUAUGAAAUAAAUUAAAUAUCUGACUUUGUUGUCAGUUUAUAAAAACA